rnacentral:rRNA from 1 species
AACUAUAACGGUCCUAAGGUAGCGAAAUUCCUUGUCGGGUAAGUUCCGACCUGCACGAAUGGCGUAAUGAUGGCCAGGCUGUCUCCACCCGAGACUCAGUGAAAUUGAACUCGCUGUGAAGAUGCAGUGUACCCGCGGCAAGACGGAAAGACCCCGUGAACCUUUACUAUAGCUUGACACUGAACAUUGAGCCUUGAUGUGUAGGAUAGGUGGGAGGCUUUGAAGUGUGGACGCCAGUCUGCAUGGAGCCGGCCUUGAAAUACCACCCUUUAAUGUUUGAUGUUCUAACGUGGACCCGUGAUCCGGGUUGCGGACAGUGUCUGGUGGGUAGUUUGACUGGGGCGGUCUCCUCCUAAAGAGUAACGGAGGAGCACGAAGGUUGGCUAAUCCUGGUCGGACAUCAGGAGGUUAGUGCAAUGGCAUAAGCCAGCUUGACUGCGAGCGUGACGGCGCGAGCAGGUGCGAAAGCAGGUCAUAGUGAUCCGGUGGUUCUGAAUGGAAGGGCCAUCGCUCAACGGAUAAAAGGUACUCCGGGGAUAACAGGCUGAUACCGCCCAAGAGUUCAUAUCGACGGCGGUGUUUGGCACCUCGAUGUCGGCUCAUCACAUCCUGGGGCUGAAGUAGGUCCCAAGGGUAUGGCUGUUCGCCAUUUAAAGUGGUACGCGAGCUGGGUUUAGAACGUCGUGAGACAGUUCGGUCCCUAUCUGCCGUGGGCGCUGGAGAACUGAGGGGGGCUGCUCCUAGUACGAGAGGACCGGAGUGGACGCAUCACUGGUGUUCGGGUUGUCAUGCCAAUGGCACUGCCCGGUAGCUAAAUGCGGAAGAGAUAAGUGCUGAAAGCAUCUAAGCACGAAACUUGCCCCGAGAUGAGUUCUCCCUGACCCUUUAAGGGUCCUGAAGGAACGUUGAAGACGACGACGUUGAUAGGCCGGGUGUGUAAGCGCAGCGAUGCGUUGAGCUAACCGGUACUAAUGAACCGUGAGG